UACGGAGGAUGCAAGCGUUAUCCGGAAUGAUUGGGCGUAAAGCGUCCGUAGGUGGCAAUGUAAGUCUGCUGUCAAAGCGUCUGGCUCAACCAGAUAAAGGCAGUGGAAACUACAUAGCUAGAGUAAGGUAGGGGUAGAGGGAAUUCCUGGUGUAGCGGUGAAAUGCGUAGAGAUCAGGAAGAACACCGGUGGCGAAAGCGCUCUGCUGGACCUUAACUGACACUGAGGGACGAAAGCUAGGGGAGCGAAUGGG
rnacentral:rRNA from 1 species